UAUUGCACAAUGGGCGAAAGCCUGAUGCAGCGACGCCGCGUGAGGGAAGACGGUCUUCGGAUUGUAAACCUCUGUCUUUGGGGAAGAAAUCAGACGGUACCCAAAGAGGAAGCUCCGGCUAACUACGUGCCAGCAGCCGCGGUAAUACGUAGGGAGCGAGCGUUGUCCGGAAUUACUGGGUGUAAAGGGAGCGUAGGCGGGCUUGUAAGUUGAAUGUCUAAUCCACCGGCUCAACCGGUGAUCGCGUUCAAAACUGCAGGUCUUGAGUGAAGUAGAGGCAGGCGGAAUUCCUAGUGUAGCGGCGAAAUGCGUAGAUAUUAGGAGGAACACCGGUGGCGAAGGCGGCCUGCUGGACGACAACUGACGCUGAGGCUCGAAAGCGUGGGGAGCAAACAGG
rnacentral:rRNA from 1 species